UACGGAAGGCAGCAGUGGGGAAUAUUGCACAAUGGGCGAAAGCCUGAUGCAGCUAUGCCGCGUGUAUGAAGAAGGCCUUAGGGUUGUAAAGUACUUUCAUCGGGGAGGAAAAACAAAACUAAUAAUUUUAUUUCUUGACGUUACCCGAAAAAGAAGCACCGGCUAACUCCGUGCCAGCAGCCGCGGUAAUACGGAGGGUGCUAGCGUUAAUCAGAAUUACUGGGCGUAAAGAGCACGUAGGUGGGUUUUUUAAGUCAGAUGUGAAAUCCCUGGGCUUAACCUAGGAACUGCAUUUUGAAACUGAAAUACUAGAGUAUCGUAGAGGGAGGUAGAAUUCUAGGUGUAGCGGUGAAAUGCGUAGAUAUCUGGAGGAAUACCUGUGGCGAAAGCGGCCUCCUAAACGAAUACUGACACUGAGGUGCGAAAGCGUGGGGAGCAAACGAGGGAUUAGAUACC
rnacentral:rRNA from 1 species